rnacentral:rRNA from 1 species
CAGCAGUAGCCGCGGGAAUACGGAGGGUGCAAGCGUUAAUCGGAAUUACUGGGCGUAAAGCGCACGCAGGCGGUCUGACAAGUCAGAUGUGAAAUCCCCGGGCUUAACCUGGGAACUGCAUUUGAAACUGUCAGGCUGGAGUCUUGUAGAGGGGGGUAGAAUUCCAGGUGUAGCGGUGAAAUGCGUAGAGAUCUGGAGGAAUACCGAUGGCGAAGGCAGCCAUCUGGCCUAAUACUGACGCUGAGGUACGAAAGCAUGGGGAGCAAACAGGAUUAGAUACCCGUGUAGUCCCUGUCUCUUAUAC